AAUAGAUACCCCGGUAGUCCACGCCGUAAACGAUGAGUGCUAAGUGUUAGGGGGUUUCCGCCCCUUAGUGCUGCAGCUAACGCAUUAAGCACUCCGCCUGGGGAGUACGGUCGCAAGACUGAAACUCAAAGGAAUUGACGGGGGCCCGCACAAGCGGUGGAGCAUGUGGUUUAAUUCGAAGCAACGCGAAGAACCUUACCAGGUCUUGACAUCCCAUUGACCACUAUGGAGACAUAGUUUUCCCUUCGGGGACAACGGUGACAGGUGGUGCAUGGUUGUCGUCAGCUCGUGUCGUGAGAUGUUGGGUUAAGUCCCGCAACCGAGCGCAACCCUUGUUCUUAGUUGCCAUCAUUUAGUUGGGCACUCUAAGGAGACUGCCGGUGACAAACCGGAGGAAGGUGGGGAUGACGUCAAAUCGAUCAUGCCCCUUAUGACCUGGGCUACACACGUGCUACAAUGGACGGUACAAACGGUUGCCAACCCGCAGGGGGGAGCUAAUCCGGAUAAAACCGGUUCUCAGUUCGGAUUGUAGGCUGCAACUCGCUACAUGAAGCCG
rnacentral:rRNA from 1 species